rnacentral:rRNA from 1 species
UACGUAGGGUGCAAGCGUUGUCCGGAAUUAUUGGGCGUAAAGAGCUUGUAGGCGGUUUGUCGCGUCUGCUGUGAAAAUCCGAGGCUCAACCUCGGACUUGCAGUGGGUACGGGCAGACUAGAGUGUGGUAGGGGAGACUGGAAUUCCUGGUGUAGCGGUGGAAUGCGCAGAUAUCGGGAGGAACACCAGUGGCGAAGGCGGUUGCCUGGGGCUUUGCUGACGCUGAUGCGCGAAAGCGUGGGGAGCGAUCCGG